rnacentral:rRNA from 1 species
GAUGAACGCUGGCGGCGUGCUUAAUACAUGCAAGUCGAACGAAUGGAUGUCUAGCUUGCUAGACUGAAGUUAGUGGCGAACGGGUGAGUAAUACAUAGGCAAUCUGCCCUGAAGUGUGGGAUAGCUAUUGGAAACGAUAAUUAAUACCGCAUAGGUAGUAAGAAGGCAUCUUCCUACUAUUAAAGAUGCGUCUGCAUCGCUGCAGGAUGAGCUUAUGGUGUAUUAGCUAGUUGGUGAGAUAAAAGCCCACCAAGGCUAUGAUACAUAGCUGGUCUGAGAGGAUGAACAGCCACAUUGGGACUGAGACACGGCCCAGACUCCUACGGGAGGCAGCAGUAAGGAAUUUUCGGCAAUGGGGGCAACCCUGACCGAGCAACGCCGCGUGAGUGAUGAAGGUCUUCGGAUCGUAAAGCUCUGUCUUUAGGGACGAUAAUGACGGUACCUAAGGAGGAAGCCACGGCUAACUACGUG